GUGUCCUACUGCUUCACCAGUGCUCGAUUCAGUUGCUGACAGGUCUUUCAACAUGGUACCAACAGCAUUCAUUUGUCUGUGCCUAGUAUCUGCUUCCGCUGCAACAACCUACAAUCGUGUUUGGCACCUUGGGUCGAAACGGAAAGACAUCUUGAACCGGGAGAAGGCGCGCCUGAGCUCAAGAGUCAGUGUCUGCACAGACGACACCAUUCGCCCCUGAGUGGAAUCUGCAACGACAACCUCGACAACCUUAGAUUGGGGUAUACGGACGGAGACUAAUCAACCCGGAAUAUGAUGAUG